AGCGGGCAAAGGGAGCGAAGGGGACUCGGCCGCCAUGUUAGGAGUGCUAGGACGUUUCUGCGGAGCUGGCUGAGGUUUUAGGGAACGCGGGAGCCGAGUGGUGGUGCAGAGGGGACGAGUCUGUCUACACUAUGAAAAGAUGGGAAAUUUCUUUCUUCCUGAGGGUGUCCGGAGGGCUAAAAAUGCCGAUAUAUUUGUGCUGUUUUUCUCCUUUCCUUUUGUGUAUUAUCCUGAAAAACAAAAUUAACUGACA